AACAUAACAUCCAUGUAUACAUUUUUGCCAAGUCCUGUUUCAGGAAAAUGUGUGUCCGACAAGAUGUUCUGUAUUUUCACUGCAGCUGUUUAAGAUUAUCAUCAUUCAGGCUGUUUGGCAGGCACCCUUAACUACUUUUUACAUACACAAAAUGCCUACGUCAUUGCAAGUGCUGCUGCACGUCGUGACAAGCAUACUAAGUACAUCAUGUAGUUGUUUAACCAGUUCGACGACGACAUUCUUGGUGGCCUUGGUUUGGUGCGCAGGUAGUAUUCAUCUUACGAGACACGUCAAGCUCUACAGGACACCGUCCUACUUUCUAACGAAAUACCUAGGGGCGCUGUGAGACCAAUCAUGUGCUGCUGUCGGCUCCAGUCCUGCUGUUGCUGUGGCCUCCGCGAAGGGUCGAUCGCUAUUGGGAUUAUCGAUUUGAUCCUGUCAGCACUAGGGCUAGGCUGGAAUGUGUGGCCAAUCGCGGCUGGUAGAGGUGUAGGUGAGAUGAAAGUCUGAUUUCUAUCCAAGAUAAGCAACAA